rnacentral:rRNA from 1 species
CCCAGACUCCUACGGGAGGCAGCAGUAGGGAAUCUUUCACAAUGGGCGAAAGCCUGAUGGAGCAACGCCGCGUGCAGGAUGAAGGCUUUCGGGUUGUAAACUUCUUUUAUGAGGGACGAAAGAAAUGACGGCACCUCAUGAAUAAGCCACGGCUAACUACGUGCCAGCAGCCGCGGUAAUACGUAGGUGGCAAGCGUUAUCCGGAUUUACUGGGUGUAAAGGGCGUGUAGGCGGGACUGCAAGUCAGAUGUGAAAAUUAUGGGCUCAACCCAUAACCUGCAUUUGAAACUGUAGUUCUUGAGUGAUGGAGAGGCAGGCGGAAUUCCGUGUGUAGCGGUGAAAUGCGUAGAUAUACGGAGGAACACCAGUGGCGAAGGCGGCCUGCUGGACAGUAACUGACGCUGAGGCGCGAAAGCGUGGGGAGCAAACAGGAUUAGAUACCCCCGUAGUC